GACGAACGCUGGCGGCGUGCUUAACACAUGCAAGUCGAACGGAAAGGCCCGGCUCUUGUUGGGUGCUCGAGUGGCGAACGGGUGUGUAACACGCGUGUAACCUCCCCUUGACUUUGGGGUAAAUUCACGGAACUCGGGAGCAUAUCCGGUAGGAUAUCCUGCAGCACGUUGGUGGAUGGAGAGAUUCGGCUGUUGGGGAUGGUCUGGCGGCUUAUCCGCUUGUUGGUCGGGUAGGGGCUUACCAAGGCUAUGACGGGUAGGCGGCGUGAGAGGGUGGCCGGCCACCAUGCGACUGCGGUACGGCGCAGAAGCCAAUGGGAGGCAGCAGUGGAGAAUAUUACGCAAUGGGGGGAAGCCAGAUGCAGCAACGCCGCGUGCGGGAUGACGUCUUUCGGGUUGUAAACCGCUUUCGCCUGUGCCGAAGCGGGAGUGACGGUAAUGGGUAAAGAAGCACCGGCUAACUACGUG
rnacentral:rRNA from 1 species